AUACGUAGGUGGCAAGCGUUGUCCGGAUUUAUUGGGCGUAAAGCGAGCGCAGGCGGUCCUUUAAGUCUGAUGUGAAAGCCCCCGGCUCAACCGGGGAGGGUCAUUGGAAACUGGGAAACUUGAGUGCCGAAGAGGAGAGUGGAAUUCCAUGUGUAGCGGUGAAAUGCGUAGAUAUUUGGAGGAACACCAGUGGCGAAGGCGACUGUCUGGUCUGUAACUGACGCUGAGGCGCGAAAGCGUGGGGAGCAAACAGGAUUAGAUACCCUGGUAGUCCACGCCGUAAACGAUGAGUGCUAAGUGUUGGGGGGUUUCCGCCCCUCAGUGCUGCAGCUAACGCAUUAAGCACUCCGCCUGGGGAGUACGGUCGCAAGACUGAAACUCAAAUGAAUUGACGGGG
rnacentral:rRNA from 1 species